rnacentral:rRNA from 1 species
UACGGGGGGAGCAAGCGUUGUUCGGAUUUACUGGGCGUAAAGGGCGCGUAGGCGGCCACCGCAAGUCGGUUGUGAAAUCUCUGGGCUUAACCCAGAAAGGUCAACCGAUACUGCGGGGCUAGAGUGCAGAAGGGGCAACUGGAAUUCUCGGUGUAGCGGUGAAAUGCGUAGAUAUCGGAAGGAACACCAGUGGCGAAAGCGGCUUCCUGGUCCAGCACCGACGUUCAGGCACGAAAGCGUGGGGAGCAAACAGG